GGGGACAGAAGGCCAUGGAAGAGAGAAAAUGGUGGAGGAACACCAGGAGAGCAGUGGAUGCCAGAUGGUAUACUGCAAUGCUUUUUUCUGGGAUCUGGGAAGACAGGGAGACUUCCAGUAUCCCUGACGACUACUGAUGCAAGAAAUACAUCCAGUUGCUGCUUUAUUCUGGAUGGUUUGUUGCCUCCGGAUGCCAGUUAGGUGACAAAAACUUCACAGAAUACUCCAAAUUUGGCCUCACCAACAUAUUAUACAACAAUAUAACAUCUCAUCUCCUAUACUCAACACGUUGAUUUAUGAAGACCAAUGUGCCAAAAGUCUGCUUUAUGACUGUUGUGAUGGAAAUAACUGGUUCUUUGAGUCUCAACAGUAGAGGCCUGGACACGCACAGUUUUAAUAAGGAAUUUAUUAUUGUUACGCCUGUGCCCAACUCUGAGGGGCCGAAAGGUACAAAGUAGCCCCCUCCUUUUUGAGAAUCACAAGAUCGCUAUUAAUUCAAGUCAGGAGACCCAGGAAAUGAGACAGAGACACGCAGAAUCCACAAGGGGUUUGGAAUAUCCUGGCCCCUCAGCGAUACAAAGCCACAGGAAAUGGCCAUUGUCUCUUGGAGACGGAAUUGUGUAUUGAGUACUGUACUAUUCAUUGAAGCCCCUCAGGGGACGACCAGAGUGGGCUGGUUGAGGGAUUGCAUCAUCCCAACCUGAUUGACAUCUGAGACCCCGUGAGUAAGGAUAAAAGAGGGUCUGGGGAACAACCCCUUUAGACGCACCAGGAGAAACGCUAGAAAUCCCGUGACGGCGUUUAAUAGCAACAGGCGGUGGGGCCUGCGUGCGUCCUUUCCCGUUGGCUGGGAUUGGUGGGACUGACCACGGAAGAACGGCUUAGCUAAAAGGAAAAGGACACCAACGACAUUUCGAAGGAUCGACAUCAUAAAAAAGGAAACUCUGGCAAGUUCCAAAAUCUCUCUCUUGACUCCAACCAAAGGCUGCAGCCUGAAUGAACUUGAGUGACUUUAAUAUUUCCAUCGGACAAUACAUUAUCCCCUAGACAAUGAUAGAGCUAUUUCUUAUUGAUUAUUAUUAUACCCACGCUUUUAGAUUUAGUAUUGAUGACGUAUGUUAUCUGUAUGUUUGCAUUGAUAUUAUUUUUGUGUAUUUUUAUCAAUAAACACUGUUAAAAAUAGUACCAUCAAACUUCAACGGACCUCCCUAUCUUUGCUGGUAAGUGACCCAGUUACAGGGUUCAUAACAUUAUUAAAGGGGAAGUCGGGUCAACACAAGCAACUACAAUACACAGGAAGCAAUGUGGGGACAGGGUGCGGUUAAACAUACAAAGAACAAGGGAAAAGCACUACAACAGCUAUCCCCCUUGACCUUGGAUAGCUGCGGCUCCCUUAUCAGGACAAACGAUAGACCUUCCCAAACAUAAAUCAAUGCACUUACCUCCAAUGAGGUGGUCUGUAAGAGAGACCAAUCUAGGGACAAGUCUCACCUUUUAUAGCAUGGGGCUGGGCGAGAUAACCCAAUUAAGGUGACCAAUAAUUUGGGUGUGCAUUGGUUAGUUGGGAGGGACCAAAUGUUGAUUGGCAUGUGGUGUGUCCUCCGACCAGCC